GAGCUGUUAACUCGUCUCUCACUCCGGGACUGGGACAGAUCCUCCUUGCCUGAUACCCUCCUGCCCAUCCUAGGAAGCUCUGGUCCCUGCCCACCUCUCCAAGAGUCCAGCCCCUUUCUUGGGUUGGAGGAAAGGGGAGGAGGGAAUGCAGGUCUGCACAGACAGCUCCCUAUAGUGGCAGCUCCACUAAGGAUAAAAGCCUUAAGAAAAAGAAAGUGUAUCUGUCGCUGUCCAAGUUGCUGUCACACCUUUUAAUGAUGUCAUGAAUUAACACAGAGAAGUUGCUAACAGAUAAGAGAGUUGAUACUGGACAAAAGGAGACAUGAAAUUGAUGGCAGCAAAGGAAGGCUUCAUAUAUCAGAGGUGACAUUGGAGCCCGGCUUUGAGCAAUUAGUGAAGACCCCCAUCAGAAACAUUGGGGAAAAGCAUUCCAGGGAGAAGGAACAGCACGUGCGAAGGCUCAGAGUCCUACGACCACCAGGGCAUGUGCUCUGAGCCCUUGAUUCCUGACCCUCCAAACCCGCGGCUCACUCCCCCUCGGGGAGUCACCACCGGGGCCACCUUGGAGUCUUCCCAACAGGUCCCUCACCCUCGCUCCUGCUGUGUCCGGAGGGAUCAGCUUCCUGUAGAUCUCUAGACACAGCCCUCUCCUCUCCACUUCCCUGCCCUGACCUGGGACCAGCUCACCGUUGUCAUUCACCAGGACAGCAGUUACUUCUCCCUUGUUCCCCCCAUCUCCGCUCACUGUUUCUCUCUCAGCCACCCCGUGAGGGGGCCUGCAGAAGGAGGGUGGGUGUCCCACCGGCUUUACAC
ensembl:lncRNA